CUUCACCGAACCCAACCACAACGGCUCCGCACGAUCCUGGCCGUAAGUGGCCAGCAGCGCCUGCGCCUC
rnacentral:antisense_RNA from 1 species